AUGAAGUAUCAGGCUGAAGGAGUCCUGGGACAGAUCUGGAUUUUCUUCAUUCUUUCUGGUGUUGUUGGAAAGAAUAUUGAACAGUCAGCUCUGUUGAUGGUCACAGAAGGAACAUCUAUUAAAAUCAAUUGCAAAUACCAAACAGAUGGCUUUAAUGGGCUGUACUGGUACCGACAAUGUGAGGGUGGUGCUCCCAUGUAUGCUUACUAUAGGGUUCUGGAUGGUUUGAAAGAUCACAGUGAAUUUGUUUCAUUUCUUAGUCAAGCUAACACAUACAGUUAUCUCCUUCUAAAUCAUUCCCAGAUGACAAAUUCUGCUUCUUAUCUGUGUGCUGUGAUAGACACUGUGAUUCAGACAGCUCUUGCAAGCUAUAUUGUAAUUCAUGUUUCAUUAUGGUGA